rnacentral:rRNA from 1 species
AUUGAACGCUGGCGGCAGGCCUAACACAUGCAAGUCGAGCGGGGUUUUCGGACCUAGCGGCGGACGGGUGAGUAAUGCGUAGGAAGCUGCCCGAUAGAGGGGGAUACCAGUUGGAAACGACUGUUAAUACCGCAUAAUGUCUACGGACCAAAGUGUGGGACCUUCGGGCCACAUGCUAUCGGAUGCGCCUACGUGGGAUUAGCUAGUUGGUGAGGUAAUGGCUCACCAAGGCGACGAUCUCUAGCUGGUUUGAGAGGAUGAUCAGCCACACUGGAACUGAGACACGGUCCAGACUCCUACGGGAGGCAGCAGUGGGGAAUAUCGGACAAUGGGCGCAAGCCUGAUCCAGCCAUGCCGCGUGUGUGAAGAAGGCCUUCGGGUUGUAAAGCACUUUCAGCGAGGAGGAAGGGGUGUGUGUUAAUAGUACACACCUUUGACGUUACUCGCAGAAGAAGCACCGGCUAACUCUGUGCCAGCAGCCGCCGUAAUAC